UACAUUUUAGUAUAGGAUGUACAAAAAUUUUUGAUAUUUUAAGAAGUAGUUUAAUUCUGCUAAAUGUAA
rnacentral:tRNA from 1 species